CUUAAUCAAGCCAGGAAAACACAUAUAAAAUUCUGGUCAGAUUUUCAAAUUAUGAAAAACACAAUGCAAGCAAUUUACAUACUUUUGUUGGUGUUAAUUUCUUUAAUGUUGCUUUGUCGUCAUAAGAUAUUUCCAAUCGCAACAGAAAAUGUUGUUAACAAAAAAGAACUGGAGGACGUGAGAUCAGCAAAGAGGGUCGCUCCGGAAAACAAGAGUUCAAAAUUUAAAAAGAUCGGUGAUAAUUUUUAUUAUAUCGAGACCGUUAAAAAAUUGGAUUGGUAUAACGCUAUAGUUAAGUGCGAAAGCAUGGGAAGCAGACUAGUUAGUCUCCAAAGUGAGGAGCAGUGGAACGAUGUCACCGUACACCUGGAACCGAAGGAUAACUAUUGGGUGGACAUCAGCAACGUUCUUUCGGAUGGCCAAUUUUUAUCAGAGACGACCGGACAAAGAGCCAAGUUUAUGAAUGUGAAUAUUGACGAUAUAAACAGCAUUUCUAACAGUGAAAGCUGUAUUGAGUUGGGAGCAAAUAAUAAUCAUUUCAUGAAUCCGGUAGAUUGCUUAAACAAAAACUUGUAUAUAUGCGAGGCAGAUGAAAACCGAGAUAACGUUAAUAAGUUGUGAGGCUGUUUAAUGUAUGUGUGUAUGGCAAUGCAUCUUAUUUAUAUUAACUUUUAAAAUAUGCUAAGAUACACAAAGAAAAUAUAUAUUAUUGGAUCUAUC